CGCGCAGAGAACUCCGGGGCCGAGGGGCUAUUUUUUCCCAUCGUAGCUCUGAGCUGCUUUUGGAAGCGGAAGGAGACAGAGGAUAUGGGCAUGUAUUGUUUAUACCUGUGUGGUGUCGUCAUGGGAACCUGGCGGGGGGAGGGGUCACGAGGCGUGAAGAUCAAGCCCCGCCCCCUGAGGGGCGAGGAGAAGUUAGACGCACAAAAGAGAAGUGGAGAGAGGCGGGUGAGGAGGCAUGGCUAGGCAAGUGUUUACCUGGUAUCCUGCGAAUGCCAAAUAAAUGCUGUUGGCCGAGUACAAGGUGCAGACUGUCUUCUGUGCAUGUGUCACAGCCCCCAGCACAGUACCACCAGCAUGACAGGCACACAGUGGAUGGAUGGAUGGAUGGAUGAACAGAAGGAGUCAAAUGGUCACCUCUGACAUUUACCUUCAUUUCAAAGGUCUCAAAACAUUUCUGUGGGCCCCUGGAAAGUCAUAGACCCUGGGCACCAUGCCCCACGUGCUCAACAGAACCCCCACACGAAUUCCAUGACUAAAGGACAGCAGCAUGGAAAUUAUACAUCAUCAGUCAUCCAGUGAUACAAAGAGGUGGCCAAUUGUCUUUGAAGUCACUUAUAAAGGAUCACCAAGCAGGCAGUGUUGCUUUUCUGCGAACAGAAGGAAAGUCGGCUCCAUGGUUCUUGAAGAUUUAUCCAAGCUUUCCACUGGGUGCCAAGACUUCUGUCCCAACCUCUCAGUCACCAUUUACAGCAAGAAAAGCCAGCAAGUGAAAAACUGUUAAUUUAUUGAUUCAAUGAAAGUUUUUUUUUUUUUCUUAAACAAUCCUCAGUACAUGUAGUUCAGGAUUAAGUAUCACAUUUGUAGCACAUUGUUGAGUCUCUACACAGAAGUACGCACCACCUGUGUAAUCCCAUCGCAUCCCUUUCUGCAGCCUGUACACCCCUGCUUGUGGUCAUUUUCAUUACCACAUCCAUGUCGCUCAAAAGCGCGCGUUAUUACUGGUCUCCUUAGCGAGAUGUAUCCCCGCCACCUCCCCUCCCCCAUUCCCACCCUGGGGUUAGAUUUUAAAGGCAGGACAUUAUCCAAUCUCAGAUUUACGAAGGUCACUGACAAACUUUGGUUUCUUGUGUGCUCAUGUGGACCCUGCUUUUGCGCUUUCGCAAGGGUUUCUAUUUCAAUGGCCUUGACUCUGAUCAGUUCCUAUUCACUCCCAUUUACGUCUAGGAGGGAAGUCUGCUUUUUCCUGUGGACGCUCAUGCGGUAGUAACACAGGUUUCUAAACAAAUCAUUUCAUCUCCACUGGCAUGAAAGGAAACCCUGAGGCCCAUUUCGAUGCACAUAUGAGAACUCUUCCAGUUGGUGUUUGUGUCCCACAAUAAAUCUACCUCCACCCUCAUGAAUGCCGCUCCUGGGAGAACCUGUCAUUUCCCUGAGUAGGCGCAGACUGAGACCCCACGGCCUCAGCGAGAGCACCACCUUCCAGCCCCACUGGAACCAAUCCAGGGGCAGUGCCCACCUCAGCGCACAUUCCAGAACAUGAACUCCAUGCCCCCUAGUUUUCUCCCCUGAAGUCAUGUUCCCUCCCCUCCAGCUCGACCUGUUGGCUCUUAUGGGUUCCGGUUCCCUUCUUUUAACAGCCCCCGACCCUGCUUCUCUCCCAGCCCCGAGGGAUUACAAGCUCUGAUUGAUCAGUCUGAGAGCACCUUCCUUCGCUGCAAGGAAACACAUUGGCUUUGAGCCUUGUGAGUACCGAGGUGCUAGAGAACGUGUUAGGAGACCCAGCGGAGUGAGUGAUGUUUAAGUGCCCCACAAAACUGGCAUUGGCACUCCUCUAAUUGGUAAGAAGACCCAGAAAUGCUUGGUCUGCGUUAUAAUUUGAUGGCUUCUCCCACCCAGUCGCCUGCCACAGGGACAGGAUAGGAUGGGAGGCCAACUGAUAUGAUCCAGGGGAGACUGAACUGCAAGCAAACCACAGAUGAAAAUAUUAACAGUUCUGUUCUCACCAUGGGAAUUCUCAGCUGAGGCAAAACCUUGUAGUUAUGCUCACUUGUGGUCAAUAGACUGAUAUACCGAUCUGUAUUUGGCAUAGGAACCUCCUGUUCUCACCAUACCAGGUCUAUGUUCCUGAACAUAGGCAGUACCUGAGAUGACAGUGUAACACUACCCUGUUCUCCACAUUUUUUUGCUUUUCUUUAGGAAGUAGUAAGUCCUAUCAUAGGCACUUUUAACCUGUUAUAAGGUAAUGAAGCGAACAAAAUGUCUAAUGAGAAUUACUGAGAUGAAUUUACGAAAUGCGCUGACUGAAAAGGACAGUGGGUGGGUAAAUAUACCACAGCUUAGUCUAAAUCAGACGAGACUCCCGCUCCUACACACACAUAUAUUCUCUCUCAUCCCUCUCCAUCCUAACUCAGGUAAAAAGAGAAAAAGGUCUGGACUGGACUCACUUCAGUUUGAGAAAAAACCACCUACAGUCACAGUCAGCCAGCAAGUUGGGUGUCAAGACCAGACUCAGAAAGGAGUAUUUUAAACUCAGUUCUGCUGUAUGUCUAAGGCAUGAAGAGAGGUAAAAGCAUAGGUGGUAGAAAAGUAAACUAUGCAUAAAAAGGAAGAGUUACUCCUGUGUUAAAGCUGCAGUUACAGAACCCAAGGACAGGCAGGUUAGCGUGUUUGCACCUAUUAAAUCAUGACCAAAGGAGAGCGAGGCACAAGUAAAUCGCCUGGCUCUUCUCCAGAUGCUUUUAUUGCCUCUGGGGACCCAAAGGAAAGAAACUGGGGCCACUUCACCCGGACCCUCCAGUAGGCUCCCCCUGCUGGUCUAGACAGGCAACUUAAAAAACAGUGGGGGGCUGGGAGAGGGCAUAGGGGACAGGGGAGGAGAUGAGAGGUAGGGGGCAGGAAAGACACACAGUGGCACAUCUCCCUGAUAAUAACCAACAGCUCAGUGUCGCCCUACAGGGCACAUUAGAAGGCUUCUGACAAUCCAGAACACUGAGCUGUGCUGCCUGACACAGCGAUAUAGGAUCAGCCAAGAGCUCGCGUCUUGUCUUUAAUUUUCAGGUAGAACAAAUGUAUACGUUAAUAUACACAAUGUGCAAUGCAGGCAGGUAGUAUUGGUAUAAGAACCUUAACUGAAUGCAUUUUCUGGCUUUGGGAUCUUAUUUUUAUUUUUUCAUCUGUAAGUUCAACUCUACAAUAAGAGUUUUAUUUGUAUUUUAAGUUCCCACCAACCAAAUGACAAAAAUAGAAUCUACUUUUAGAGAUAGGACCUGCUACCAAUACCAAUAUGAUUUUUAUUGGAAUAUGGAAUGUAAACAGAUGCUUUCAAACAAACAAUCUAACCUUAUUAAAAUGUAUGGCAUUAUUAAAUAGUUAAUAAAGAAAUCCUAAAGUGUGACGUGGUGGUAGACACCUCUAGCUCUUGCCUAGGUGUGUGAGGUCCCCACAGCUUGGCUCUGCAGCUGGGGUGAGGGGACUGCUUGCAAACCAUGUUGGUGACAAGUCCCCCAAAUGAAAUCAGCCCUAUUUUUAAUUUUUAAAAACAAACUCUAGCUUCCUUUGCUAACGUGAAGGCUAGCACAGCGGGUCCCAAGCUUUGAUACCUGCUCCCGGAGCCCCACUUCCUUCCCCAGGCCCCUGUGUUGUUCUCCUUGGUCGCUUGGGUUAUGGGGCGGCUGGCUCUGCCCACACAACUCCAGUCUCUGCACGUGAGACAUACUGUCUCUGCUGUCACAUUCAUGUAUUACCUAUCAGAGCUUAAAAAAUGCAGAUUACCCUGAUUAUUUGGAAAUUAAGUGGGAAAUUAUUUCUCAUGGGGACAAAAAGAGGCAAAAGGGGGGUGGGGGAAAAGACAUUUUUUUCACCCAAUAGGUCAUUCCUUAAUACAUUCUAAGAGGACAUUUUUCUCCCUUCCUGACCUGCCUAAAGGCUGACUUCCAGCUUUAGUUAUGGUUGUGAACAAAACGUCUGUUUUAGAGAGAAGAGUUAAAGUAGGUGCACACACAGGGGUGUGCUGGGAAAUGGUAAGGUUUCCAUACAAGGCUGCCAAAAAAAAAAAAAAAAAAAAAGC